GGAAGUAAAAUCGUAACAAGGUUUCCGUAGGUGAACCUGCGGAAGGAUCAUUAUUGUAUACCCGAGGUGCGAGGGCUGUCGCUGACCCGAAAGGUCGUGCACGCCCGAGUGCCCUCACACACAUCCAUCUCACCCCUAUGUGCACCACCGCGUGGGUCCCCCUUUGGCUUGUUCGGAGGGGGGCUUACGUUUUCACACAAACUUUGUAUGCAGUGUAGAAUGUAUUUUUUGUUUUUGCGAUCACGCAAUCAAUACAACUUUCAACAACGGAUCUCUCGGCUCUC
rnacentral:misc_RNA from 1 species